GACGAACGCUGGCGGCGUGCUUAACACAUGCAAGUCGAACGGAAAGGCCCUUCGGGGUACUCGAGUGGCGAACGGGUGAGUAACACGUGGGUGAUCUGCCCUGCACUUUGGGAUAAGCCUGGGAAACUGGGUCUAAUACCGAAUAGGACCACGCGCUUCAUGGUGUGUGGUGGAAAGCUUUUGCGGUGUUGGAUGGGCCCGCGGCCUAUCAGCUUGUUGGUGGGGUAAUGGCCUACCAAGGCGACGACGGGUAGCCGGCCUGAGAGGGUGACCGGCCACACUGGGACUGAGAUACGGCCCAGACUCCUACGGGAGGCGGCAGUGGGGAAUAUUGCACAAUGGGCGCAAGCCUGAUGCAGCGACGCCGCGUGAGGGAUGACGGCCUUCGGGUUGUAAACCUCUUUCAAUAGGGACGAAGCGCAAGUGACGGUACCUAUAGAAGAAGCACCGGCCAACUACGUG
rnacentral:rRNA from 1 species